UGUGUGCCCAAGCAUUGAGGCAGUCAAAGUAGGCAAAUCCGCUUUGAUAAUGCUGGGAUGUGAUGGGGAGCGAAAUUUAGUAGCGAAGUAGCUGAUUUCACACUGUCAAGAAAAGUCUCUAUCGAGGUUAAAGGUACCCGUACCGCAAACCGACACAGGUGGGUGAGGAGAGUAUCCUAAGGCCAGCGAGAGAACUGUUGUUAAGGAACUCGGCAAAAUGACCCCGUAACUUAGGGAUAAGGGGUGCCACCAUCAGGUGGCCGCAGGGAAUAGGCCCAAGCGACUGUUUACCAAAAACAUAGGUUUCUGCUAAGUCGCAAGACGAUGUAUAGGAGCUGACGCCUGCCCGGUGCUGGAAGGUUAAGGGGAUCUGUUAGAGCAAUCGAAGCAGUGA
rnacentral:rRNA from 1 species